rnacentral:lncRNA from 1 species
ACUGAGCUGUUCCCUGCGCUAAGGUGCUUCUUCCUAAGUGCUGUUCAGAUUUUUAAAAUAGCCAGACAAGUUGCUGCUUUUCCUGUGGUUAAAAUAGAUUUAGCUUGAUAUUGGGAAUUUAAUACAAAAUUAUUCAACUCUGGGUUGCAGGGCCCCAGGAACUUUAGCCGAUUGCUGUGUACUAUGGAUUUGGUUCUUUUACUGUCUUUUUAAUUUAAAGUUGAAGUUGAAAAGUUUGUCAAACUCAGUAUAUUCUUGGGGAUCCCAGGCCUCGGAGGUCUGCAAUAGUUAUGAGUGUAGGUGAAGCGUGUUUGCUUAGGACCGGAUUGAUUUUAGAUUUUUUUUCCAUUCAUAGCGUCCGUCAUUUUCGCACCACAGCUUUUUGUAGCACUUCCUCUCAUUAUAAAUCCCUGAGCUGGAAGAAAAACAGAAACGGCCUAUGUACCCUCUACCUAGCACACUGAAGUGCAGCUUCCUGCACCUCCAGGGCAAGACGGCUACCUCCAUUCCUUUUUAAAUGUAUUUUUACCUUCCUGCCUGGCACUAUUAAGUGCUAAAUAAAUGAAUAAGAGGAGGAAUGGGGAUUUUACGUGCUUGGUGGAGGCUGCUCAGUUUUGUUGCUGGGCAGACGUGCGAACAUGAACUAAUAAUCCCUUUGGGUGUCUGGAAUGCCUGCCCAGGUUGCCAAGGCAAGACACAUAAUCACAUAAUUUUUAAAAGCAUCUAUAAAUCUAUACAAACUUUAAAAAUAUGAACUAGGCUGGGCACGAUGGCUCACGCCUGUAAUCCCAACACUUUGGGAUGCUGAGGUGGGUGGAUCACGAGGUCAGGAGUUCGAGACCAGCCUGGCCAACAUAGUGAAACCCGUCUCUACUAAAAAUACAAAAAUUAGCCGGGCGUGGUGGUGCAUGCCUGUAGUCCCAACUACUUGGGAGGCUGAGGCAGAAUUGCUUGAAGCCGGGAGGUGGAGAUUGUGGUGAGCCGAGAUCGCACCACUUCACUCCAGCCUGGACAACAGAGUGAGAUUCUGUCUCAAAAAUAAAUAAAUAAAUAAAUGUAAAAAUAUAAACUAGGUAGGAGUUGUGAGACUUACAAAACCUUCAAGGCUCUUAUUGAUUGCUAGGAAAUUAAAUACAUAAUUUAAAGAACAUAAGAUAGCCCAGAAGUAUCAUUAUCCCGUUGGGGAAGUGUUAAUUAAAAGAUAUAAUAAAGACAAAUUUUCUAAGUUCCUUUCAUGGGGUUUGGAAGAGGAACAAGUCAUCUGUGCUGGAGUAAUCAUAACCCAAUGGCAGGUGAAACUGGAAACUUGGGUGAAACAGGGUAAGAAAGCCAGAAAAACAUACAUUGUCCUCUGAGUAAAUUUUCCUUAGCUCCUGGGCUGAGUAUUUUUAUGCAGCCUUAAGGAAUUAGGACAUGCCUUUAGCAAAAAUUGUAAAAUACAAUACAUGGAAAAUUGGUCUUAGUACCCCACUGAUCUCUCUAGCCUCUUCCUGUUUUUUAAGGUAUUUGUGUUUCUUCUGGUGGAAAGAGCCUGAUCUGUUACCUCCUACUAUGUCUAUUUCUCCAAAUUCUUUCUUCUUAAAUAAAAAUUCCUGUCAGAGAAACAGCUAAAUUACACUAUAGUGGGAAUGGCUGAUAGAAGGUCUCAAUAUAUCAACUUUUCCAUGGAUAUUUGUAUGUAUGUAUGUAUGUAUGUAUUUAUUUUUUGAGAUGGAGUCUUGCUCUAUCGCCCAGGCUGGAGUUCACUGGUGUAAUCUCAGCUCACUGCAACCUCCACCUCCUGCAUUCAAGCGAUUCUCUUGCCCCAGCCUCCUGAGUAGCUGGGAUUGCUACUGCCUACUACCAUGCCCGGCUAAUUUUUGUAUUUUAAGUAGAGACAGGUUUUGCCAUUUUGGCCAGGUUGGUCUUGAACUCCUGACACAGGUGAUCCACCCACCGCCCCCACCCCCCCGACCUCCCAAAAUGCUGGGAUUACAGGUGUGAGCCACCGUGCCCAGCCGGAUAUUUGUAUUUAAAUAACUAAUAUGCAAUCCCUAUAGAAUCUACCCGAUUCAGUGUCUUCUUAGUGGCUACUAAAAUACCUACUGGAUCCACUGUCCAGUUUGCCUAAAUUGUAGCUGUUUCUUAAGUUAAAUUCGUCUGGAUAUUUGGUUCCUUCUGGAGUAGUUUUCCUUUGACUAACACUUGAAGAAUAAUUUUCAUUUUAGUUCUAGAAGUAACCUUCUGUUACUCUCACUUAGGUGCUCUUUUGGGCCUAAAUAUAAUUAGAUCCUUCGCCGUUGUUUUGAGGUAAAUCUAAACGAAAAGGAACACCUGUUAACAGGUAGUGAUGCCGCAGGAAAGUGCUGGGAAGGGAAUGCUGGGAAGGGAAGGGCGUGGUCCCUUUAAAUGAUAAGGAAGGGGGGCGGGAAGUGCUGGGUAGAGGAGGGCGUGGUCCCCAGCUAGGGCUUCAUCCCUGGGCCUGGGCCUACCUAGGUGAAGACAGGCAUUUUUGUUUUCCUGCCCGGAUGUUGCAUUUCCCAAGACCACCCUGGCCUGCCAUGCCCUCAUCCUGUGCCUUUAAAAACCCCCGAGACCCUGGCAGGCAGACGCACAAGCAGCUGGACAUUGAGAGGAGCAUAUAGGCAGAGAAUACAGGGGCUGCUGGAUGUCGAAAGGAACGCACCAGCAUAGGAGCACACCGGCAUGCUGGCAGGCCAUUGACCAGCGGAAGAAUGCAGAGUUUGUCGCGGGAGGUCAGAGAAGAGUCAGGCCGCCAUACCUGACUCCAGGAGAAAACCGUCUCCCUUCUGGUUCCCCCGUCUGCCGAGAGCUACUUCCACUCAAUAAAACUUUCCACUCAUUCUUCAAGCCCACGUGUGAUCCAAUUCUUCCCGUACACCAAGGUCUCGCUGUGUUUCCCAGGCUGGGUGCAGUGGCUAUUCAAAGGUACAAUGAUAGCUCACUGCAGCCUGGAACUCCUGGACUCAAGCGAUCCUCCUGCCUCAGCUGCGACUAACAGCUCCAAGUUUAGAAGACCCUACGACGUGACUCAGUAAGUGGCCUCACCUUCAUCCGAUUGCUCAGAAUUAAAACCUAGAAGUCAUCCUUGAUUUUCUCCUCUCAAAUCUGUCUCCAUUCAUCAGCACGUGCUUUUGACUCGAUGAAACGCUCCAAACACAACUGCUUCCCACCGCCUCCACUGCUGCCUCUUGUCCCUGCAGCAUCAUCUCUCACCCACAUUGGCCACAGCGGCUUGUUGUUGGUGUUCCUGCUUCUACUUUUGACUUGUUUCUAUUGUCUUCCAUGCCCACUGGAACUGUAAUUAUUUUUUGCAAAUGUAAGUUAGAUAAUGACAUUCCACUGUUAAAAAAAAAACAAAACAGAAAACAAAAUGAAAGAACAAAAUAAAAAUGUCUAGUGACCCCCUGUUACACCUAGCCGAAAAUCCUUACUUGGCCCAGAAGGGCCUAGAUUCUCAGUCUUGACUGCACAUGGGAAAUCACCUGGGGACUUGAAAAAUACUGACUUUAGCUGGGUCUGGGGAAUUGUGUGUGUGUGUAUGUGUGUGUGAGAUGGAGCUUCGCUUUUAUUGCCCGGGCUACAGUGCAAUGGCACCAUCUCAGCUCACCGCAACCUCCGCCUCCCCAGUUCAAGCCGUUCUCCUGCCUCAGCCUCCCGAGUAGGUGGGAUUACAGGCAUGCACCAUGACGCCCGGCUAAUUUUUUCUAUUUUUGGUAGAGACGGGGGUUUCUCCAUGUUGGUCAGGCUGGUCUCGAACUCCUGACCUCAGGUGAUCCACCUGCCUCGGCCUCCCAAAGUGCUGGGAUUACAGGCGUGAGCCACCGCGCCCAGCCGGCACAGGGAAUUUAAAAGCUUCCCAGAAGUUUCUGAUGUAUAACCAAGAUUGAGAGCUACUCUAGGAUCCUUCCACCACUCUCUUCCUCUCUCUAUCUCCACCCCAGUUGCUUACUUGCUGUGUUUUGAGCACACUCUGAUCCUUUCCACCCCAAAGCAUGGAUCAUUCUUGCCCCAGAUAUUUGCAUGAGCUAUUCUUUCACACAAAGAGGUCUCUGCUCAAAUGUUACCUUUUCAAAUAUAUUUUCCCCAACGAACCUACCUAAUGACUAUUUUUUUACCCUGUAUAUUUUUAGUUUUUAUAUGAAAUUAUAUUACUUGCUUCUUUACCUGUUUAUUGGUGCUCUUCCUCACAAGCAUGUAAGUGCAUGAAGAUAGACACCUUGUCUUAUUCACUAAGACAUUAUCACCCUGGCAUAUAGCGUGCUUGGAACUCAUUCUCUGAUUAGUGUUUUUCAGUGAAAAAAAUGAGGAUUACUCAAGGUUCUGGGAUCUGGAUUUGCUACAAGUAGCUAAUUGUAGCUUAUGGAUUCUCUGGUUUGUAAGGCUUUUGUUGCUUUUGUUCUAUUUGCAACCCUAGACUUUCCUUCCAGAAAUAGUCAUCUGGGCGUGGUGCCUCACACAUGUAAUCCCCAUACUGACACAGGUCGAUCACUUGAGGCCAGGAGUUCGAGAUCAGCCUGGCCGAUAUGGUGAAAUCCCCUCUCUAUUGAAAACACAA